GGAAGGCUUUCUCUGUCUCAGUGGGGCAGCUUUCUAAAGCAAAGUGAAAUACUUGGCCACCUCUUCCCGAAGGUAACCCCAACUCCUCAAUGUGGUCAAGAACAGCUUGUGUAAGCUCAGUGGUCUACUGAGAUGAAAGUCCUUUGUAUUCCCACUGAAAAUUAAGUGUCCUUAUGUCAAUCCAGGGAAAAGCAGGCACCAAGACUAAAUGAAAGUCAUGAGGAUUUUAUUAAGAGAAAUAUUUGUGUGAAAGGAGGUCAGUAGGGAAUUGGAGAAGGUUGAAGAGCCACCUGCCAUGCAAAUCAGACCCCAAGUAAGGGAGAGGGGAGAGAAAAUUAGAUGAAAGUGUCUUAGACUGCUCUGCAUUCUAAGCCAGUAGGGAGUCAUUCAGCCAAUAUUGGGCAACAAACAAAUCCUUUGCUGCAGGAAUGGGUCUACCUUCACAUCCUACUUAUGGGUUUAGCAUGGCCUCAGCACAAAUGCGAUGAUGAUUUCAAAGUGAAACAUCUGAGGUGCCCAGUGAUUGCACUCUCUGUAGUAAGAGGUCCUUGAGACAUAUUUACGUGACCUCCACAAUCCAUGCCUUGGACUUGUCCAUGCAGGUGCAGGGAGCAACUCCUCCAUUGGGCUCUCUUCCUCCUGAUGGAACAGAUGAAGGAGGUUAGUGGGAUGAUUUACAGAUGCCCUGGCUGCUGUUGACCUUGGUGCCACAACUGGAUCGCAUGGGUCUGCACCAGCUCAUCAUUUCAGUCGCUUUCAUCUUCAAAGUGAAUCCUUAGUCACCUUUAAGUGGCUUCAGGUACUAACUUUGGGUGAACUUCUAAUAUGUAUAGAAGAAUGGUACAUUUUCCUUUUUUUAGGCUUCCAGUUCAUUGAGUCAGAGAUUUCAAGCUGUACCCAAAACCAAGAGACUCCAAGUGUCAAAUCGUCAAAUUAAAGAAUUUUCUUGAAGUUUCAGCCAAUUCUUCCCCCAAAAUGUAGGAGGACUGAAUAUUUCUGAGUUUGGAAUCUGGCUAGAAUCUUACCUGGGCACCUGAGUUGCAGGCUAUCUCCCUGCCACAACAGCUUCCUCAGUGGAAUUCUGGGCUGAAGAGAGAAUAAGAAAAUGAAUACCAAACUAUUAAUUUCAUUGAAAUUAAUUUCUGCAUUUCUGUUGAAAUGCAGAAGCUGAUCAUCCAUACUGAUGCUAUCAUCACUGACUACAUUAAAGUUUCUAGACAAAUUCAGUAAGCAUUUUGAUGCCAGCUAGGCAGUGAGAGACAUGUGCUGGGGAUGCCAAGCUGAAUGAGCAGAUGCCCCUGCCUGCUAAGAGCCCACGUGGAAGUCAGUGGUCCAAACAGUAAGAGUCUGAAACUGUUUUUAAAUAGGUCCUUUUCACUCUACAGGAAAUAGGAAUCUCUGAACAGGAAAAAUCUCUGCUAGACCA
rnacentral:lncRNA from 1 species